rnacentral:rRNA from 1 species
UUUAUCAAAAACAUUGCCUUUAGAUUUAUAAAUUAAAGGUAUGUCCUGCCCGGUGAAUUACGGUUUUAACGGCCGCGGUAUCCUGACCGUGCAAAGGUAGCAUAAUCAUUUGCCUUUUAAUUGGAGGCUUGUAUGAAUGGAUUAACGAGGGACUAAUUGUCUCAUCUAUAAGAAUAAAAAUUAGUUUGUAGGUGAAGAAACCUACAUAUAAUUAAAAGACAAGAAGACCCUAUCGAGUUUUAUUAACCCGGCUGGGUUUUAAAAAUUAUAAUAUUUUAAAAAGAGGCAGGCUAAUUUGGUUGGGGCGACUGGGGAAUUAGAAAAACUUCCCCCGCACAUAGAAUAUAAUUCAAGUAAGGAUCCACAGCAGUGAUCUAUAGAAAAACACUACCGUAGGGAUAACAGGCUAAUUUCUUUAGAGAGUUCACAUUGACAAGGAAGAUUGGCACCUCGAUGUUGGCUUAGAAUAUCCCUUGUAUGCAGCAGUACAAAAAGGUUGGUUUGUUCAACCAUAAAAAUCUACGUGAUCUGAGUUCA